CCGCAUGGCAAGGCGUAGCGAGCCACCAUUAGCGAGUCUUGGGUUCUGACUGGUAACAGGCAGAGCUAAGCGUAGACAGUUAGGGAGCAGGGUUGUAAUGCUAUAGAGCUUCGAAAUUUUACAAAGUCUCAGAGGCCGACGCAGUCUAUCCAUGCGGAAGGCAACAUCACAACAAGCGAUAUGCGAGUCUGUUGUGGCUUUGACGGAGUCAGAGGGC
rnacentral:ncRNA from 1 species